rnacentral:tRNA from 1 species
GGGGAUUUAGCUCAGUGGUAGAGCGCUGGCUAGGCUAGCCAGCGCAAGGCCCUGGGUUCGUUCCCCAGCUCCG